AUAUGAUAGUCGUUAUGUUUCUACUCAAGAUGAGUGGGUUCUUCCUCCUGGCGGGAGUGCAGUAUUCAAGGUGUAUCACAUAGAGUAUGGUGACAGAAAAUUAAAAGUCGGUGGUCAACUCAGAAUAUUGACCUGGGAGGUGGAAAAAGCCAUGCCUUUUGAAGCUGCUCUGCGUGAGAAACAUAAAGCCGCUAUAGAAAGCAAGAUUAGUCUAACUUUAAAUAAAUGAAAAGAAUGCAGAUAAAGCAGGUUUGAGAUAAAAGAAACAGUAGAUGAAGAUGGAUGCUAUGACAAUAUUGCAGAAUUUGUUGCACUUAUUUUUUUUAUUUUUUAUUUUUUUACAACUGGUACCAAGCAUUUUUUUUUUUUUGGGGUUGUUGUUUGGGUAAUGAACUUAUAUUAAGCAAUCGAAUGUUAUGCAUAAGUGUU